GAUGAACGCUGGCGGCGUGCCUAAUACAUGCAAGUCGAGCGAACGGACGAGAAGCUUGCUUCUCUGAUGUUAGCGGCGGACGGGUGAGUAACACGUGGAUAACCUACCUAUAAGACUGGGAUAACUUCGGGAAACCGGAGCUAAUACCGGAUAAUAUUUUGAACCGCAUGGUUCAAAAGUGAAAGACGGUCUUGCUGUCACUUAUAGAUGGAUCCGCGCUGCAUUAGCUAGUUGGUAAGGUAACGGCUUACCAAGGCAACGAUGCAUAGCCGACCUGAGAGGGUGAUCGGCCACACUGGAACUGAGACACGGUCCAGACUCCUACGGGAGGCAGCAGUAGGGAAUCUUCCGCAAUGGGCGAAAGCCUGACGGAGCAACGCCGCGUGAGUGAUGAAGGUCUCGGAUCGUAAAACUCUGUUAUUAGGGAAGAACAUAUGUGUAAGUAACUGUGCACAUCUUGACGGUACCUAAUCAGAAAGCCACGGCUAACUACGUG
rnacentral:rRNA from 1 species